AAAAUAAUUUAAAAAAAAAUUAAAAAAAAACACAAAUAUAAUAUAAAAAAAAAUAUUUACCCCCCAAAAAACUGAUCAAAAAAAUAAAUUAGAUUAAAAAAGUAAUAAAAAUGAUUUUAAACGAAAAAACUACAAACAAACGCGGGGCGGUUGGGGGUGGGGUGGGGCGUGGGCGUGGCGGGGCGGGGGGGGGCCUAAAGUUCCUUUUCGGUUCUGACAGGGGAGAGUCAGUGACAUUUUCAAAACCACAGGGGAGGUCAGUGUUAUAAUAUGGAAAAACCUCAGGGGGUGUAGAUUGAUGAAGUUAUCCCUACUUAUUAAUUAGCAUAUUAAUGUUAUGAAGUGAUAUUGUUUUUAUUUUUAUUUGAAUUCUUUUUGGAUUAGUAUGGAGUGAUUUUAGUGCUAUAUAGGGAAUUUGAUUGGGUUAACAAGUUUUCGAAUUUGAAUUAUUGCAUUAUUUGUUGAUAAACUUCUUCAAGCCAUCGAGUUAUUGUCAACAUUGAUAAUUGGCAAUUACGUAUUGCAUCAUCAAAGCUAUAUAUUCGAUUCAUUGUGUUCCGAAUUACGUCAUUGAACUAAAUUGUGUUAUCAAGGCGAGAAAAGGUGAGUACUAUGUUUUUCGUUAUUGUGUUGAAAAUGAAUUGAAAGUGAUUGAAGUAGAUAUGAGUAUAUAUGACAAGGUUGUCAUAAUUAACUUUCACGAAGUUGUUGAACUCAAAUAAUCUAUAUUUUUAUAAAAGAAUGAUGAGAUGAUCAUAUAUUCUGUAUCAUAAUCUUUUUUUCAUAAUAAUAUUCAAUGAGAGAAUGGUUGAUCCACAUUUUAUUUUCGGUGUGACUUUAAUACGUGCAUAAUAAAUUUGAAAAUGAAAAAUAUUUUCUGCUAUUGCAAGUGAAUUUGCUUUGCUCUGAUUUUUUGACAAAAAAUACAGCAAUAUAUUGACGGUUUGUGAACAUAAUGCGAUUAUUUUUUGCAAUUUGAUAUUCACAAUUGUCACUUUAUGAUAAAUUUAUCAUAAUUUCUUCAUAUUUUUCGCAAUAUUGAUUCAGUUAAAACUUAUUAUGAGUUUACCACAAGUAAAACAUAGUUUACGCAAUGUGACAAAUUGUAUCAUGUACGUAUCACAAUUGUUGGUUAUUUUGCAUGGACUUUUUUAUUCUGAUUUUUAUAUGCAUUGUGACAAUACAUAUUUUAUGAUAAGUUUAUCAUAAUCUGGAUAAAUUAGAAACAUUAUUAUAACUUGGAGUUUUAUGAUAAAUUUGUCAUAACCUGAACCAAAAAAUGCUAUAAAUGGUAUAAUACGACUAUGAUAAUAUUUUAAUAAAAAGAUAGUGGAAAAGUGAAUCCUAAUGCUGGGCCAUAUAUGAUGAAUUUAUCAUAUUAAAUUCAUUACGAUUAAUUUAUAUUACGAAUCGAUUUAGAAUUUUAUAAGAGAUUUUAGGGAAAUACAGAAUAGAAAUGUAUGAGAUAUUUUAAGAAAAAAAUUAUGAAAUGAGAAGCUAAUAGACAUUUUAGGGGGGGAAUAAAAUAAGAUAAAGUGAGAUUUUAGGGGGGAAAUAUAGGUUGGGAUUGGAUGGAAAGUUAAAGAGAAAGUUUAGGAAUCUUUUAAAGGGCUGUUAGAUAUAUAUAGGGUUAGUUUUGAUAUUAUUUGAAUGUAAGGAGACUGUGCUUAACUUUUUAAAAUGAUCAAAAUUUAUCUAAAAGAUUUGGACUUCAAUAGUAGUUGGCCCAAGAAUCCCAUUAAAAUUAGACAACUAGGUUACAAAAAGUAAACAUUAAGAGGAUGUUUGGUAAUGUUUCUGUUUUUUGUGUUUGUUUAAUUUUUUAUAAAACAAAAACUAAAAUUAUAUUUGUAUUCACUUGUUUUAAAACUAUUUUAAAAAAUAAAAAUAUGUUGGUUUCACCUAUUUUUAAAUUAUUUAAAAAAAAAAGGCGAGGGGAGGGGGGGGGAGAAGGGGGGGCGGGAGGAGCCGGGGGGAGGUGAGGAGGCCCCCUCCUUUCCCGCCCCCCUAUUGGGGGCGGCUGGGGAGGAGGUGGGGGUGGAGUGGGUGGCGGCAAGUGGUGAGAUAAGGACGGGUGGAGGAGAGAGGAGGCCGGUGGGGUGGUUUAGUGGUGGAGAGGAGGUGGUGGAGGUGAGAGGUGGUGGUGGAGGAGAGGAGGAGGAGGUGGUGGUGAGGCGCGGCGACAGUAGAGGCGGGUGGUGGAGGAGGAGGAGAGCGCGGUUGGUUAGUGGUUUGGCCCUGAGGGGGAGGGAGGAGAUCCAGGGGGAGGUGGGGGUGGAGGGGGUGGGUGGGGUGGGCGUGGGGUGAGGAGGUGGUGGUGGGAGAGUAGGAGGACGGGUGGCGGGGGGGGGGUGGUGGUGUGGGGAGGAUGGUGUUUUUUGUUUUGGGUUUUUUCGGAGGCGGGUGAUGAGGUGGUGGAGGAGGAGGAGGUCAGUGGAGGUGGAGGUGGUGGUGGUGGUUGAAAAAAAUUGGAUAAAAAAAUUUUAUAACAAAAACAUAA
rnacentral:lncRNA from 1 species